UGAGUAACGCGUGAGGAACCUGCCUUUCGGAGGGGGACAACAGUUGGAAACGACUGCUAAUACCGCAUGAUACAUUUGGGCCGCAUGGUCUGAAUGUCAAAGAUUUAUCGCCGAAAGAUGGCCUCGCGUCUGAUUAGCUAGUUGGUGGGGUAACGGCCCACCAAGGCGACGAUCAGUAGCCGGACUGAGAGGUUGGCCGGCCACAUUGGGACUGAGAUACGGCCCAGACUCCUACGGGAGGCAGCAG
rnacentral:rRNA from 1 species